AAUUCUCAGCCCAAUUUCCAUUCCAAAAAGAAACCAAAAGAACCCCAUCAACUCAACUAACGUGACCCGACCCCUGCGCCUUCAUCUUGUUCUCUGCGUAAACUACCGACGUAAAACCAGCAAAAUCGCGUCCAACUCCAGACGCAAACCAAAGCGCGAGUCCAGCAGCCUAGCGCGUCGUCCCUUUCCUCUCUCUUAUCUGAUUGUCGGAAUCCAGGUGUCGAGAUCUCCCAUUGCCUUUGUCCUUUCUUCAGAAAGCAAAUGUCUGCGAUUCUCAAUCCGUUGGAGAGGUGUACAAUUUUUUGAGUUGGCAACCUUAUCACUUGAAGGGAAUUUGAAUUUGAAAUUCAAAAUUCAAUCGGUUUCUCCCUCUUUCUGCCCUAAAUAUCCCUUUAUAAAUAUCGGCUCAUUCUUCAUUGCUAGGAGUUGGAGAAAAGAGCAAAGAAAUUUUGGGAAAAAGUUGAGAAAAAAGGGUUGGAGAUAGUUACAAUAAGUUGGGGAAAAAAGUCUGGAAGUUUAGAGUCGGGAUUUCUUUUGAACAGUCACAUUUAUAUUCAAGAACUUUUAUAUGUUUUCUUUAAUCUUAAGUUGUGAGAGAACCAUUGUUCGAGUCGGGUUUAUUUCGUGGUCAGCUGCUCGAGAUUCAAACUCGUAUGGUGGAAGAGCUCGUCCCUACUCGUUUGGUCUCAUUUCGCUGGCUGAAGAAAGAUCGCAGGAAUUGAAGAGGGCUGCAUAUGCUUGGUAUGCAGUCCAAUGUACAUGAAAAUCAGUCAAAAUAUGGCCUAUAUACAACUAUAUACAUUUGUUGUAUACAUAGGAGUUUGAGAGUGAAAAGGGGCCAAACUCAUCCAUUUGCAGGACAAGUUUUGGGCCAAAAGCCCAUCUGAUUUGAAAUUGGGACAAAUAGCCCAAAUUCGAACUUUCUCCCUUAUUCUAUUUAUUUAUUUGUUAUUAUGUUGCUUAACAUUGUGGCUUAACUUAAUUAAUUCCCCAAAGAUAAUCAUUUCUCUUUUAUGUCCAAAAUAUAUAUUUAUUACUUAGUUUUAUUUUCA